CCUGCGGAGCUUACCAUGCAAGUCGAACGGGCCCUUCGGGGUCAGUGGCAGACGGGUGAGUAACACGUGGGAACGUACCUUUCAGUUCGGAAUAACCCAGGGUAACUUGGGCUAAGACCGGAUACGCCCUUUUGGGGAAAGAUUUAUCGCUGAGAGAUCGGCCCGCGUCUGAUUAGCUAGUUGGUGAGGUAAAGGCUCACCAAGGCGACGAUCAGUAGCUGGUCUGAGAGGAUGAUCAGCCACAUUGGGACUGAGACACGGCCCAAACUCCUACGGGAGGCAGCAGUGGGGAAUAUUGGACAAUGGGCGCAAGCCUGAUCCAGCCAUGCCGCGUGAGUGAUGAAGGCCUUAGGGUUGUAAAGCUCUUUCGGCGGGGACGAUAAUGACGGUACCCGCAGAAGAAGCCCCGGCUAACUUCGUGCCAGCAGCCGCGGUAAUACGAAGGGGGCUAGCGUUGUUCGGAAUCACUGGGCGUAAAGGGCGCGUAGGCGGCCAUAUAAGUCGGGGGUGAAAGCCUGUGGCUCAACCACAGAAUUGCCUUCGAUACUGUAUGGCUCGAGACCGGAAGAGGUAAGUGGAACUGCGAGUGUAGAGGUGAAAUUCGUAGAUAUUCGCAAGAACACCAGUGGCGAAGGCGGCUUACUGGUCCGGUUCUGACGCUGAGGCACGAAAGCGUGGGGAGCAAACAGGAUUAGAUACCCUGUAGUCCACGCCGUAAGCGAUGAAUGCCAGCCGUUGGGCAGCUUGCUGCUCAGUGGCGCAGCUAACGCUUUAAGCAUUCCGCCUGGGGGAGUACGGUCGCAAGAUUACAC
rnacentral:rRNA from 1 species